AGUAAAAUUUGGUCCAGAACCAAAGCCAGCAUGAAGAUCCUUUAUCUGCUGUUCACAUUUCUUUUCCUUGCAUUCCUGUCUCAACCAGGGAAUGCCGGCCCCCGCUGUCGUCGGCUAAGAGGAGUGUGUGUUCGGUUUAUGAGAUCUGGGGUUUCCUGUUACGGGCAAGUGGAUUGUCCAAAAGGAUAUUGGUGCUGCCAUAGCUGGGGUAGAAAAUAAUGCCAUCUCCAUCUACCACCCGGAACGUCUUCAAGAUAUGGCCAAUGAUCUGAGAUUACCGCCUGCUAUCGCUUUAUCUUUCUUUACAUGAAUCAAAUUGCUAUCUAUCAAACUCAAAAACAUUUAUGCAUUAAAAUAAAAAUUGGCAAAUAUUCCUUGAAAUAAAGCUAAAUGAGCAUUGCAGAAA